CCCUGGCUCAGGAUGAACGCUGGCGGCGUGCUUAACACAUGCAAGUCGAACGAUGACCCGGUGCUUGCACCGGUGAUUAGUGGCGAACGGGUGAGUAACACGUGAGUAACCUGCCCUUAACUCUGGGAUAAGCCUGGGAAACUGGGUCUAAUACCGGAUAUGACUCCUCAUCGCAUGGUGGGGGGUGGAAAGCUUUAUUGUGGUUUUGGAUGGACUCGCGGCCUAUCAGCUUGUUGGUGAGGUAAUGGCUCACCAAGGCGACGACGGGUAGCCGGCCUGAGAGGGUGACCGGCCACACUGGGACUGAGACACGGCCCAGACUCCUACGGGAGGCAGCAGUGGGGAAUAUUGCACAAUGGGCGCAAGCCUGAUGCAGCGACGCCGCGUGAGGGAUGACGGCCUUCGGGUUGUAAACCUCUUUCAGUAGGGAAGAAGCGAAAGUGACGGUACCUGCAGAAGAAGCGCCGGCUAACUA
rnacentral:rRNA from 5 species